rnacentral:rRNA from 1 species
UCAAUCUCGUGCGGCUAUAUAUACCGCCGGUCCCUCUAAGAAGAUUUUCAUUGUACGCCGGUAGUGAAGACCGCGAAACGCACGACCGCGACGCGUUAACGCCACGGCACGCGCGCACGCGGGCCCUCGUGAUACCGGUUGCACGUCUAUUUAAUAGGCUAGAGUUACGUUCGUUAC